rnacentral:rRNA from 1 species
GGCGAACGCUGGCGGCGUGCUUAACACAUGCAAGUCGAACGAAAAGCGAUGGAUUCUUGCUUCUGUCAGUCUUAGUGGCGAACGGGUGAGUAACGCGUAAUCAACCUGCCCUUCAGGGGGGAACAACAGUAGGAAACGACUGCUACUACCACAUACGAUCUAAUCUCGGCAUCGAGGGUGGAGUAAAGGUGGCCUGUACAUGUAAGCUGUCUCUUAAGGUUGGGGGUGGGGCGGAUUGGUAAGGUGGGGGGGUAACGGCCCACCAAGGCGAUGAGCAGUAGCAGGACGGGGAGGAUGAACGGCCAGAUUGGGAGUGAGACCCGGCCCAGAGUCCUACGGGAGGGAGCAGUGGGGAAACUUCCGCAAUGGACGAAAGUCUGACGGCGCAACGCCGCGUGCGUGAGGACGGACUUCGGGUUGUAAAGGUCUGUUAAUCGGGAGGAAAGGGCUUCUUGCGAAUAGUGAGAAGGAUUGACGGUACCGGAAGAGAAAGCCACGGCUAACUACGUG